CAGCUGAUCCAGCAUGCCGCGUGUGUGAAGAAGGCCUUCGGGUUGUAAAGCACUUUUGUCCGGAAAGAAAUCCUUGGCUCUAAUACAGUCGGGGGAUGACGGUACCGGAAGAAUAAGCACCGGCUAACUACGUGCCAGCAGCCGCGGUAAUACGUAGGGUGCGAGCGUUAAUCGGAAUUACUGGGCGUAAAGCGUGCGCAGGCGGUUUGCUAAGACCGAUGUGAAAUCCCCGGGCUCAACCUGGGAACUGCAUUGGUGACUGGCAGGCUAGAGUAUGGCAGAGGGGGGUAGAAUUCCACGUGUAGCAGUGAAAUGCGUAGAGAUGUGGAGGAAUACCGAUGGCGAAGGCAGCCCCCUGGGCCAAUACUGACGCUCAUGCACGAAAGCGUGGGGAGCAAACAGGAUUAGAUACCCUGGUAGUCCACGCCCUAAACGAUGUCAACUAGUUGUUGGGGAUUCAUUUCCUUAGUAACGUAGCUAACGCGUGAAGUUGACCGCCUGGGGAGUACGGUCGCAAGAUUAAAACUCAAUGAA
rnacentral:rRNA from 1 species